GCAUCGAUAGGUCAGUGGCAGAGCGGUGGGGCGUUUACCCAUGCGGCCUGGGUUUAAAUCCCGGUCGAUGUA